rnacentral:rRNA from 1 species
AGCGAACGCUGGCGGCAGGCCUAACACAUGCAAGUCGAACGGAUCCUUCGGGAUUAGUGGCGGACGGGUGAGUAACACGUGGGAACGUGCCCUUUGGUUCGGAACAACUCAGGGAAACUUGAGCUAAUACCGGAUGUGCCCUUCGGGGGAAAGAUUUAUCGCCAUUGGAGCGUCCCGCGUCUGAUUAGCUUGUUGGUGAGGUAACGGCCCACCACGGCGACGAUCAGUAGCUGGUCUGAGAGGAUGAUCAGCCACACUGGGACUGAGACACGGCCCAGACUCCUACGGGAGGCAGCAGUGGGGAAUCUUGCGCAAUGGGCGAAAGCCUGACGCAGCCAUGCCGCGUGAAUGAUGAAGGUCUUAGGAUUGUAAAAUUCUUUCAGCGGGGACGAUAAUGACGGUACCCGCAGAAGAAGCUCCGGCUAACUUCGUG